UACGUAGGGUGCGAGCGUUAAUCGGAAUUACUGGGCGUAAAGCGUGCGCAGGCGGUUUUGUAAGCCAGAUGUGAAAUCCCCGGGCUUAACCUGGGAAUGGCAUUUGGGACUGCAAGGCUGGAGUUUGGCAGAGGAGACUGGAAUUCCUGGUGUAGCAGUGAAAUGCGUAGAUAUCAGGAGGAAUACCGAUGGCGAAGGCAGGUCUCUGGGCUAUAACUGACGCUGCAUGACACGAAAGGCGUGGG
rnacentral:rRNA from 1 species